rnacentral:lncRNA from 1 species
GAAAGCUUGGAAUAUAAAGGACAUGAUGUAGAGUGAAACAAAGGAAUUGUAUGGAUCCAGUGCAUGUUAACUUUACCUUAUAACCAUUAGGCAAGGUAACUAAGUAUGGUAUAACUAAUGGUUUAAUACCAAACAGAAGGUCUUUGUUAGAUGUCAUGUGAUCAGUGGUACCAGAAUCUAUUAUCCAAAUGCAUUCACUAAUUUUGGUUAACAUGCAAGCUCCAUAAGAUACAUUCCUUAAACGAUUAUGAGGAGAAAGAGUACCAGCAAAGUUGGCAGAUGCCAUAAGACUGGAUUGCUGUUGAGACUCUGAAAUUUGUGUCUGUUGAAGCAGCAACAUGAGUUGUGAAUAUUGAUCUUUAGUUUAACCAGGAAUCAAGGAUUCUGACUCAGAGGACCCCUGAGUACUAUGAGCAUUGUUUGGAGACCCCAUAGAAUUCGGACAUCCCUGCACCUCAACAUUUGCUGCAGUACUCUUGUUUCUGGUAAUCUUGAAGUCUGGUGGGAAUCCAUGAAGUUUGUAGCACUUGUCAAUCAUAUGACCAGGUUUCUUGCAGUAUCUACACACCAAGUUUGUUUAGUGGAGAUCAAAGCUGACUCUUUGAUUGACUGUUUAGAAUGUGUAGGUAUCCUAGGGACUUUGUUGGUGAAAUAGGUGUUGAAGGAACUGGAGUCACUAUGGAACUGAAAGGGUGAUGAUGUAACUUGUCUUUGCCUCUCAUCCUGAAGAAGAAUGUUGUAUGCACUGUCUAGAGAU